CCUACGGGAGGCUGCAGUGAGGAAUAUUGGUCAAUGGCCGGAAGGCUGAACCAGCCAUGCCGCGUGAAGGUCAGUGCCCUAUGGGCGUUAAACUUCUUUUGUGCGGGAGCAAUAAUGGUCACGUGUGGCCAGACGAGAGUACCGUACGAAUAAGCAUCGGCUAACUCCGUUCCAGCAGCCGCGGUUAUUCGGGGGAUGCAAGCGUUAUCCGGAUUUUUUGGGGUUAAAGGGUGCGUAGGCUGUGAGGUAAGUCAGCGGUGAAAUGCCCCCGCUCAACGGGGUGAAGUGCCAUUGAUACUGCCUUGCUGGAAUGCAGAUGCGGUGGGAGGAAUGUGUGGUGUAGCGGUGAAAUGCAUAGAUAUCACACAGAACACCGAUUGCGAAGGCAUCUCACGAAUCCGCGAUUGACGCUGAUGCACGAAAGCGUGGGUAUCAAACAGGAUUAGAUACCCGAGUAGUC
rnacentral:rRNA from 1 species